rnacentral:lncRNA from 1 species
CUUCUGUGCACGAUUUUGUCAUUUUUAAUGCAAAUAUAUCGUAUAAUCGUUAUUUUUUUCUCUCUCUCUCUCUGUGUCUGUUAAGAUGUGAAAAUAUGGCGGCUAAUUAUUUGUCGUGUUUUGAAGCCGAAGUUUACCGAUUGUCACCUUAUAGUAAGCAAUCAACAAAAAGCAUGGAUAUUGAGCACGUGUAUAACAUGUACAAUCAGAUAAUAGUUUAUUUCAAUGAGAGAUCCAUGCGUAUUGCGAUCACCGGAUUUUUAUGAGACGAGUCACGCUAAGGUCACUU